rnacentral:rRNA from 1 species
AACGAACGCUGGCGGCAGGCUUAACACAUGCAAGUCGAGCGCCCCGCAAGGGGAGCGGCAGACGGGUGAGUAACGCGUGGGAAUCUACCCAUCUCUACGGAAUAACGCAUGGAAACGUGUGCUAAUACCGUAUACGUCCUUCGGGAGAAAGAUUUAUCGGAAAUGGAUGAGCCCGCGUUGGAUUAGCUAGUUGGUGGGGUAAAGGCCUACCAAGGCGACGAUCAAUAGCUGGUCUGAGAGGAUGAUCAGCCACACUGGGACUGAGACACGGCCCAGACUCCUACGGGAGGCAGCAGAGGGGAAUAUUGGACAAUGGGCGCAAGCCUGAUCCAGCCAUGCCGCGUGAGUGAUGAAGGCCCUAGGGUUGUAAAGCUCUUUCACCGGUGAAGAUAAUGACGGUAACCGGAGAAGAAGCCCCGGCUAACUUCGUGCCAGCCGCCGCCGUAACAC